rnacentral:rRNA from 1 species
GAUGAACGCUGGCGGCGUGCCUAAUACAUGCAAGUCGAGCGAACGGACGAGAAGCUUGCUUCUCUGAUGUUAGCGGCGGACGGGUGAGUAACACGUGGAUAACCUACCUAUAAGACUGGGAUAACUUCGGGAAACCGGAGCUAAUACCGUAUGAUAUUUUGAACCGCAUGGUUCAAAAGUGAAAGACGGUCUUGCUGUCACUUAUAGAUGGAUCCGCGCUGCAUUAGCUAGUUGGUAAGGUAACGGCUUACCAAGGCAACGAUGCAUAGCCGACCUGAGAGGGUGAUCGGCCACACUGGAACUGAGACACGGUCCAGACUCCUACGGGAGGCAGCAGCAGGGAAUCUUCCGCAAUGGGCGAAAGCCUGACGGAGCAACGCCGCGUGAGUGAUGAAGGUCUUCGGAUCGUAAAACUCUGUUAUUAGGGAAGAACAUAUGUGUAAGUAACUGUGCACAUCUUGACGGUACCUAAUCAGAAAGCCACGGCUAACUACGUG